ACAAACAUUAUAUAAAACCUUAGACUUGAAAUAAGUACAGUAAUCUACAAUUCUACAUGGAGCUGAUAGGUACUAUACCAGUAUUGUUAUCGAAGUAAAACUAAAUGACAUUCCAUGCAUUUCAAAUGCAAAAGUAGAAGAAUUCAUGAUCAACUUACCAGGCCAGAAAGAUCAAAUGGUCAGAUAAUUAUAUAAAGAACACCACCC
rnacentral:lncRNA from 1 species